rnacentral:tRNA from 1 species
GGAGAGAUGGCUCAGUGGUCAAGAGCACUGGUAGCUCUCCCAGAGGACCUGGGUUCAAUCCCCAGCAUCCG